CAAAAGUUGAAGAACUCGCAGUCGCAGUAUAAUUUUUAUAAUCUGUUUUGAUGUUGUAAUUAUACAAUCUCUAAGUAAUUUAGAAUUGUUGACUACUCAAGACAUCUGUUUAGUAAUUACCUUCUGCCUUUUCUUUUGUUUUCUGGUUCUGUUGGUUGUGUGUUAGAUCGUUUGAUAAUACUGGAGUUUUUAGUUUAAUACAAUUUUUUUAG
rnacentral:misc_RNA from 1 species